rnacentral:RNase_P_RNA from 1 species
AGCGCAGACCGCCUUAUCGUCGUUCCGAUUUAUUGGAAGGGAGGAAAGUCCGGACACCACAGAGAAGCAUAGCGGGUAACGCCCGUCGGUUCCGAAAGGGAUUAGGACAAGUGCAGCAGAAAGUAUGUACAGGUAAUGCUGUAGUGAAACCAGGUAAACUCUAUGCGGUGAAAUACCAAGUAUAUCGGCAUUUAAGGGCUUCUCGUCCGUUGUCGAAGGGUAGGUAGAUUGAGUUUCGAAGUAAUUCGGAAUCUAGAUAAAUGAUAAGGUAUUGUAUCGUUGCAAAAUGAGACAAGAACAGAAUCCGGCUUAUAGGUCUGCAUUUUUU